GUACAGUAUGCAGUAGGCCCUUUGUAUCCAAGGAUUCAACCAACUGUGGAUGGAAAAUAUUUUUUAAAAACCCAAUAAAAACAAUAUAACAAUAAAAACUAAUGUAAAUAAAACAAUAUAGUAUUAACUAUUUACAUAGUAUUUACAUUGUAUUAGGUGUUGAAAGUUAUAUAAAGAGGAUUUAAAGUAUAUGGAAGGAUAUGUAUAAGUUAUGUGCAAAUACUGCACCAUUUUAUAUCAGCGAUUUGAGCAUCUGUGGAUUUGAUAUCUAUGCGGGUCCUGGAACCAAGCCCCCAUGGAUACGGAAGGACAAUUCUAUCACUCAGAGAUUCUGAAUUCUGGACUUUGAGCUCAAUGCCAUGACUGAGGAAGACCACGGGGUUUUCUCUCUUAGAGGGGAGUGAACCCAGAGCUUUGAGUUGAGAUGGGGGUGCCAUAAGAUUGAAGUACUCUGAAAAACAGAGCUUAAAGGCUUUUAACAGGGCUCAGUAAACACUUAAGGAAGUUGCCGUGCACUGCAGCCUGCCGGAGACAUGAAGGAAUGUACGGGAGGAUAAUCGCAACAUCAUCAACCCAAUUCUCCAAGUAAUUUGCCAUGGGACAGGCACACCCCAUGUGUUUGGGAAGACAAUGGGAAGGUUCUGUUUUCUGCUCCAAGACUGAUUCAACCAGUUGGAUCUGGAAGGGGAUAAAGGGCUGUGUGGCUGCUUGAUUUUCAUUGUCUAGUGGCAGCCAAAAUUGGAAAAGAGAGAAGUGCAGACUUUAAAGACAAGCAGCGACAGCUCAUCAGCAGUCUAACAACACGACAGAUGACAGGCCCAGA
rnacentral:lncRNA from 1 species